UACGGAGGUCCCAAGCGUUGUUCGGAUUCACUGGGCGUAAAGGGUGCGCAGGUGGGCUGGUAAGUUCGAUGUGAAAGCCCCGGGCUUAACCCGGGAAUGGCAUUGGAUACUACUGGUCUGGAGGAUCGGAGGGGGGACUGGAAUUCUUGGUGUAGCAGUGAAAUGCGUAGAUAUCAAGAGGAACACCAGUGGCGAAGGCGAGUCCCUGGACGAUACCUGACACUGAGGCACGAAAGCCAAGGGAGCAAACAGG
rnacentral:rRNA from 1 species